ACAAAGAGCAGCAAGUUCGCGAGGACAAGCAAAUCUCAUAAACCGUGGCUCAGUUCAGAUCGUAGGCUGCAACUCGCCUACGUGAAGGAGGAAUCGCUAGUAAUCGCAGGUCAGCAUACUGCGGUGAAUACGUUCCCGGGCCUUGUACACACCGCCCGUCACACCAUGGAAGUUGGCCACGCCCGAAGCCGUUACUCCAACCCUUGUGGAGGAGGACGUCGAAGGUGGGGCUGAUGACUGGGGUGAAGUCGUAACAAGGUAGCCGUACCGGAAGGUGCGGCUGGACCACCUCCUAAC
rnacentral:rRNA from 1 species